rnacentral:rRNA from 1 species
GUGGCGGACGGGUGAGUAAUGUCUGGGAAACUGCCUGAUGGAGGGGGAUAACGACUGGAAACGGUGGCUAAUACCGCAGAACGUCGCAAGACCAAAGAGGGGGACCUUCGGGCCUCUUGCCAUCAGAUGUGCCCAGAUGGGAUUAGCUUGUUGGUGAGGUAACGGCUCACCAAGGCGACGAUCCCUAGCUGGUCUGAGAGGAUGACCAGCCACACUGGAACUGAGACACGGUCCAGACUCCUACGGGAGGCAGCAGUGGGGAAUAUUGCACAAUGGGCGCAAGCCUGAUGCAGCCAUGCCGCGUGUAUGAAGAAGGCCUUCGGGUUGUAAAGUACUUUCAGCGGGGAGGAAGGUGUUGUGGUUAAUAACCGCAGCAAUUGACGUUACCCGCAGAAGAAGCACCGGCUAACUCCGUGCCAGCAGCCGCGGUAAUACGGAGGGUGCAAGCGUUAAUCGGAAUUACUGGGCGUAAAGCGCACGCAGGCGGUCUGUCAAGUCGGAUGUGAAAUCCCCGGGCUCAACCUGGGAACUGCAUUCGAAACUGGCAGGCUUGAGUCUUGUAGAGGGGGGUAGAAUUCCAGGUGUAGCGGUGAAAUGCGUAGAGAUCUGGAGGAAUACCGGUGGCGAAGGCGGCCCCCUGGACAAAGACUGACGCUCAGGUGCGAAAGCGUGGGGAGCAAACAGGAUUAGAUACCCUGGUAGUCCACGCCGUAAACGAUGUCUACUUGGAGGUUGUGCCCUUGAGGCGUGGCUUCCGGAGCUAACGCGUUAAGUAGACCGCCUGGGGAGUACGGCCGCAAGGUUAAAACUCAAAUGAAUUGACGGGGGCCCGCACAAGCGGUGGAGCAUGUGGUUUAAUUCGAUGCAACGCGAAGAACCUUACCUGGUCUUGACAUCCACAGAACUUUCCAGAGAUGGAUUGGUGCCUUCGGGAACUGUGAGACAGGUGCUGCAUGGCUGUCGUCAGCUCGUGUUGUGAAAUGUUGGGUUAAGUCCCGCAACGAGCGCAACCCUUAUCCUUUGUUGCCAGCGGUCCGGCCGGGAACUCAAAGGAGACUGCCAGUGAUAAACUGGAGGAAGGUGGGGAUGACGUCAAGUCAUCAUGGCCCUUACGACCAGGGCUACACACGUGCUACAAUGGCGCAUACAAAGAGAAGCGACCUCGCGAGAGCAAGCGGACCUCAUAAAGUGCGUCGUAGUCCGGAUUGGAGUCUGCAACUCGACUCCAUGAAGUCGGAAUCGCUAGUAAUCGUGGAUCAGAAUGCCACGGUGAAUACGUUCCCGGGCCUUGUACACACCGCCCGUCACACCAUGGGAGUGGGUUGCAAAAGAAGUAGGUAGCUUAACCUUCGGGAGGGCGCUUACCACUUUGUGAUUCAUGACUGGGGUGAAGUCGUAACAAGGUAACCGUAGGGGAACCUGCGGUUGGAUGACCUCCUUACCUUAAAGAAGC